CGUGCCCUCGGCACAAUCUAAUGCAAAACCCGCAAUCUGGGUCCACCGUCAACCCCGACGGCACCCGACAGUCCAAAACAGUCUAGACACUACUGUAAAAAUAAGCUCGGCAUCUCCGUACGAGCGUAACUGCAUUCUACACUAUCCCAAGUAUCUACCGCGAACAAACUGCGGUGAUACAGAUCUACUAUAGCUCCUAAGCUU
rnacentral:lncRNA from 1 species